rnacentral:rRNA from 1 species
ACGGAAGGCAGCAGUGGGGACUAUUGGGCAAUGGGCGCAAGCCUGACCCAGCAAUGCCGCGUGAAGGAAGAAGGCCUUCGGGUUGUAAACUUCUUUUAUCAGGGACGAAGAACGUGACGGUACCUGAUGAAUAAGCCACGGCUAACUACGUGCCAGCAGCCGCGGUAAUACGUAGGCGGCAAGCGUUAUCCGGAUUUAAUGGGUGUAAAGGGCGAGUAGGCGGGGAUGCAAGCCAGGUGUGAAAUCUAUGGGCUUAACCCAUAAACUGCAGUUGAAACUGUAGCUCUUGAGUGUCGGAGAGGUAGAUGGAAUUCCUAGUGUAGCGGUGAAAUGCGUAGAUAUUAGGAGGAACACCAGUGGCGAAGGCGAUCUACUGGACGAUAACUGACGCUGAGGCGCGAAAGCGUGGGGAGCAAACAGGAUUAGAUACCCUGGUA